GGGCCCAUAGCGCAGUUGGGAGCGCGCCACAAUGGCAUUGUGGAGGUCGUGGGUUCGAACCCCACUGGGUCCA
rnacentral:tRNA from 1 species